rnacentral:lncRNA from 1 species
CCAUCGAAACCUGCCUCAGUAAAUAUGGCUUCGUCACAACUUGUGUCAUCUAGAGUUUUCAUUAACAUUGAACAUAAACGAUUACAAAGCUGGACGAUCGAAGAAAGGUAAAUCCCCGGAAACUGAGGUGCAGAAUACACGCAUUAUCCAGAAGCAAAGCCCUAGACUAGGGAAGAAGAGAAAAUUACACAAACAAUCCGAUACAACACAAAGCAUAAGAGAUUAAAAUCCAAACAGAAAAAGACAAGAAGAAGCUUACUCUUAAAAAAGACACAAAUCAACCAAGAGCAGAGACCAAACUGUUUUUUUUUUUUUUAUCAAAAGACCAAACUGUUUUUUAAGUUUGCUAAAACAGGAAAAUAAAUAAUCAUUUAUUUUUGCUUAUGAUAAUGAGUAGAUCUGUUAGGUCGUUUUCUUGUGAUCUUCGAGAAAUUCGUACCUCAAACUAGAUUAACUGUAAAAUUGUCUUUACUGAAAGUGUGAAUGUUUCGAUGAUUAUCUCAUUGAUCACAAGAGUGUAUUUAUACAAGUGUUCAUGUCUAUCGAUAUCUACCGUAUCUUAACUACGUAAAGAUAUGCAUGAGAAUAUAGUUUCGAAAAUCUCUCUCCAUACAUCGUAAUUCAUCUUGUCUAGAUUCAGUACGAUAGGAAUGUACCCACGAAUCUGACUGAUGCGAAAUGGUUUGUCAGAGAUGAGAGGAAUGUCAUCAGCCAUGGCGAUAUUGGUGAAAGAAAGGGGGUUAGAGAGGUGAAAGACGGGAAAAGAGGAAAGAAGAGGAUAUCGCAGCCGAUUGGCUAAUUUUGAGGAAGCUAAGAUCGAAAAGCUUCUGAUACCAUGAAAGUGUGAA